CUUCUUUGACCAUAGGGCGUAUGUGGAUGCAACGAAACCCCAGUGUUGCUUAGUAACCUGAUGCCACUGACAGAGUACACUGUGACCAUCUUGGCUUUGUAUGAUGGGGGUCGCCAAGCCAAGCCCCUGACUGGCUGAUUUACCACCAAGACAGUCCCAGAGCCUCUGAACCUAAAGACCAUUGAAGUAUCCACAGAGAGCUUCAGGGUCACCUGGGAACACUCAGCCCAAGACGUGGUCCUCUACAGACUCACCUGGACCCCAACCAGAGGAGGAGACACUAAAGAGAUGCUGGUGAAUGGUAACAUGAACACCUACCCUCUGACUGGACUGACUCCCAACACUGAAUACAAGGUUGCCGUGUCCUCCACCUUCAGAGACAAGUUCGAAAGUGACGCCGUGACCAUCAAAUAGUCAACAGGUAAACUACAGGGGAGCGUGAGGCAACUCCAUUGAAGAAAAAGAGGUCCAGAACCCUCUGCUGGGAAAGGAUGGAGCUAAUGUGUGAUUUAUGCUGCUUUAAAAUGGAUUCUUGCAUCAUCUAUCCAUAAUGUAAAACUAGAUACGCUUUUUAUUUGGAUCAUUUAUAUUCUGUAUACUUAAGAUCCUGACAUGAUCCUACUAUAUCAUACUAUUAUAUUUGCCAUUCUAUUAUAACUAUCCUAUUAUACAUCCUGCGAAGUAAGUAAUGUACCUAUACUGCAUUUGCAAAAGCGUUACAGCCUUGUCUUGUAACUAUUUGGUACACCUUCUAUCACCAGAGGGAUAUGUUUACAAUAUAUACUGUAGACAUGAGUUUUCCAAAUGAAAUAUUAAAGGCAUGACAAUGAGCGAACACA